UACGGAGGAUGCGAGCGUUAUCCGGAUUUAUUGGGUUUAAAGGGUGCGUAGGCGGAAAAAUAAGUCAGUGGUGAAAACCUUCAGCUUAACUGGAGACUUGCCAUUGAUACUGUUAUUCUUGAGUAUAGUUAAGGUAGGCGGAAUGUGUAAUGUAGCGGUGAAAUGCUUAGAUAUUACACAGAACACCAAUUGCGAAGGCAGCUUACUGAGCUAUAACUGACGCUGAUGCACGAAAGCGUGGGGAGCGAACAGGAUUAGAAACCCUAGUAGUCC
rnacentral:rRNA from 1 species